GACGGGCCCCGCACAGGCGAGCGGAGCGUGUGGUUUAAUUCGAUGCUACACGAAGAACCUUACUGGGUUUGACAUGUGCGUGUUACUGAGGUGAAAGCCGAGGGACCAUAUCUUCGGAUGUGGAGCGUACACAGGUGCUGCAUGGCUGUCGUCAGCUCGUGUCGUGAGAUGUUGGGUUAAGUCCCGCAACGAGCGCAACCCUUGCCAUUAGUUGCUACGAAAGGGCACUCUAAUGGGACUGCCGGUGACAAACCGGAGGAAGGUGGGGAUGACGUCAAGUCCUCAUGGCCCUUAUAGGUGGGGCUACACACGUCAUACAAUGGCCGGUACAGAGGGUAGCCAACCCGCGAGGGGGAGCCAAUCCCACAAAGCCGGUCGUAGUCCGGAUCGCAGUCUGCAACUCGACUGCGUGAAGUCGGAAUCGCUAGUAAUCGCGCAUCAGCCAUGGCGCGGUGAAUACGUUCCCGGACCUU
rnacentral:rRNA from 1 species